UACGGGGGGGGCAAGCGUUGUUCGGAAUUACUGGGCGUAAAGGGCGCGUAGGCGGCCUGCUAAGUCGGACGUGAAAUCCCUCGGCUCAACCGAGGAACUGCGUCCGAUACUGGUGGGCUUGAAUCCGGGAGAGGGAUGUGGAAUUCCAGGUGUAGCGGUGAAAUGCGUAGAUAUGCGGAGGAACACCGAUGGCGAAGGCAGUCCCCUGGGCCUGCACUGACGCUCAUGCACGAAAGCGUGGGGAGCAAACAGG
rnacentral:rRNA from 1 species